rnacentral:rRNA from 1 species
GACGAACGCUGGCGGCGUGCUUAACACAUGCAAGUCGAACGGAAAGGCCCUGCUUUUGUGGGGUACUCGAGUGGCGAACGGGUGAGUAACACGUGAGUAACCUGCCCUUGACUUUGGGAUAACUUCAGGAAACUGGGGCUAAUACCGGAUAGGAGCUCCUGCUGCAUGGUGGGGGUUGGAAAGUUUCGGCGGUUGGGGAUGGACUCGCGGCUUAUCAGCUUGUUGGUGGGGUAGUGGCUUACCAAGGCUUUGACGGGUAGCCGGCCUGAGAGGGUGACCGGCCACAUUGGGACUGAGAUACGGCCCAGACUCCUACGGGAGGCAGCAGUGGGGAAUAUUGCACAAUGGGCGGAAGCCUGAUGCAGCAACGCCGCGUGCGGGAUGACGGCCUUCGGGUUGUAAACCGCUUUCGCCUGUGACGAAGCGUGAGUGACGGUAAUGGGUAAAGAAGCACCGGCUAACUACGUG